GACGAACGCUGGCGGCGUGCUUAACACAUGCAAGUCGAACGGAAAGGCCCUGCUUUUGUGGGGUGCUCGAGUGGCGAACGGGUGAGUAACACGUGAGUAACCUGUCCUUGACUUUGGGAUAACUUCAGGAAACUGGGGCUCAUACCGGAUAGGAGCUCCUGCUGCAUGGUGGGGGUUGGAAAGUUUCGGCGGUUGGGGAUGGACUCGCGGCUUAUCAGCUUGUUGGUGGGGUAGUGGCUUACCAAGGCUUUGACGGGUAGCCGGCCUGAGAGGGUGACCGGCCACAUUGGGACUGAGAGACGGCCCAGACUCCUACGGGAGGCAGCAGUGGGGAAUAUUGCACAAUGGGCGGAAGCCUGAUACAGCAACGCCGCGUGCGGGAUGACGGCCUUCGGGUUGUAAACCGCUUUCGCCUGUGACGAAGCGUGAGUGACGGUAAUGGGUAAAGAAGCACCGGCUAACUACGUG
rnacentral:rRNA from 1 species